rnacentral:lncRNA from 1 species
GCUUGGCUGACCCAACCCUUAUUGGAUACUGCUCCCAUUUUUUUCAUUCCUGGAGCCUGUUGAAUUAAGAAAGCCCAGUCAAUAAUCUCUUCACUGCCAUACCCUCCCAAGAUGUGUAUCCAUAUAAAAUUACACCAGGGAAGACAACCUAAUGAGAGCUUUAAAUACCUCCAAUUAGGCCAGAAGGGCAAAAUUUUGACAUCACAAAAUAAGCUGUCGUCUCCAAAGGAUGGUGUCUUCUCUUCAUUCUGCCAGUACAAGAUUGCUAAAGUUUGGUUCCCAAGGCACUCCUUAGCAGGCUAAAUCUGAGAUGGGAAUUACUCUGCUGAGCAAAGAAGAUUAAUGUUUCAUAACAAAAGG